GUUUCACACUAUGCAUUCUAGUCAGGGCCCGAUCUUGGGGGGGGCAAACCGGGCAAUUGCCCGGGGCGGCAAAAAUGAGGGGCAGCAAAUUGAGAGCGGCACGGUGUCGCGUCAGUGGCCUCCGUACGCGAGUCCAACUCGCACUUGGCCGGUUUU